AGACAUUAACUGAUGAUAUUUACUGUAAACACACCAGGCGAGCUUUUAGUUAAAUAUUUAUUUUGUUGAGGCGGGUUUUUUCCCACUAUUUAAUGUGUAAUGACGCAGUAAUAGUUCGCUAGCAUGACAGUUAACAUUAGCAUGUCAGUUAGCAUUAGGGUUAGCAUGUCAGUUAGCAGGCCUCCACCACGUGUUUCAUCUCCACAUGUCUGGAUGAGAAUUAGCCACCCAGCAAACCCGUUUCCACCGCUUAAAAGUCACCGCUUUGCAGCUUCGUCCCGUGACUACAUGAUGAAAUAAAUGUUGGUAGGGACAUCUGAGUUAAUGUGAAGAAAUGCCAACAUUUCUGACCUCAUGGGACGGAGGCUGCAGAAGCUGCUGCAGGCCGAUGUGGUGCAAAAACUUCCCCUCGUGUGUCUGUGGACGGAAAGUUUAUAGAGAUGGAAGUGGACAUUAAUUGGUUCACGGUGCUCAUCCCAACAUCUGGAUCUCAUCAGAUACUUAAUCGGUGUUGGAAACGUCUGGAGACAUGAAGAAGCUGUGAGAGAUGGAGGUGCUUCCUUCAUGAUGAUCGGAAUCGACUCUUCAGACAUCCAGAAAAAGAUGGUCCUGAUGUUGGAUCACAUCUUCGUAUUUUGGACUCUGCUUCAGAAACGAGUCCAGAAAAGCCUGAAAUGAAGAAACUGGAGUCCAGAAAAGGCAGACUUCAGACGUGUACGACCUCCUGACUGACUCCACAAUGUUUUACUGAACCAGUGGGAUCGUGGCUGUUCACGUCACAGAAGGUUCUAUCAGAAAUGGUUGGAAAUCUGGACGUGGAGGAAAGUUUGAAGGACGGCAACCAACAGAGAGACUGAGGAAGGAAGAGAUUUCACGUCUUAAAAUGCUUUGAAACUUUUAGGCAAAGAGGAAGAAACCAAACUUCAGUUUAAACUCCAGUGUUUGGACGGUGAUGCAACCUGUGGAAACGUGAAUUUGUCGUACUUCUGCCCUGUUGUUGGAAUAAACUCUAUUUAAUCUGA